rnacentral:tmRNA from 1 species
GGGGGCGAUCGGCUUCGACCGGAUGCCGACUCGACCUGGGUGGCGCGCCGAGGGCCGGGGACCUCGUAAAUCCCACCGGAAAAACUCAAGUGCCAACACGCACUACUCCCUCGCUGCCUAAGAACUAGGCUCGAGCGCCGAGGUCCCCUCGCCUGCGGGGGGCCGAGGCGACACACAGCAGGCUGGUCGUCGGUGGCUGCUCGGCCCACCGGCGGCGAGACACAGUCGGGCUGGUCUGCGGUGAUCCUGUUCGUCGGAGCGCCGCAGACGACACCAAACGACGGACUACGCGCGUAGAGGCCCAGGACGGAGCAUCUCGGGACGCGGGUUCGAUUCCCGCCGCCUCCACCA